UACGAAGGGGGCUAGCGUUGAUCGGAAUCACUGGGCGUAAAGGGUGCGUAGGCGGGUCUUUAAGUCAGGGGUGAAAUCCUGGAGCUCAACUCCAGAACUGCCUUUGAUACUGGGGAUCUUGAGUUCGGGAGAGGUGAGUGGAACUGCGAGUGUAGAGGUGAAAUUCGUAGAUAUUCGCAAGAACACCAGUGGCGAAGGCGGCUCACUGGCCCGAUACUGACGCUGAGGCACGAAAGCGUGGGGAGCAAACAGG
rnacentral:rRNA from 1 species